rnacentral:rRNA from 1 species
CCUACGGGAGGCAGCAGUCGAGAAUCAUUCACAAUGGGGGAAACCCUGAUGGGGCGACGCAGCGUGGGGGAAGGAAGGUCUACGGAUUGUAAACCCCUGUCAUGUGGGAGCAAAGUAAAAAGAGAGUACCACAAGAGGAAGAGACGGCGAACGAUGUGCCAGCAGCCGCGGUAAUACAGAGGUCGCAAGCGUUGUUCGGAAUCACUGGGCGUAAAGGGUGCGGAGGCUGUUUCGUAAGUCGUGGGUGAAAGGCGCGGGCGCAACCCGCGGAGGGCACAUGAUACUGCGAGACUAGAGUACUGGAGGGGGAACCGGCAUUCUCGUUGUAGCCGUGACAUGCGUAGAUCUCGCGUG